UUCGCCCCGAGGUGCAGUGUCUGUGAGGGGCCCAUUAUUCCCGAGGAAGGGAAGGAGGAGACUGUCCGCAUCAUGGCCCUCGGGAGGAACUUUCACCCUCAGUGUUACCGCUGCGAGGAUUGCUCGAAGCAGCUCUCUUCUGAGGCGAAUGAAGACGGCUGCUUCCCUCUUGAUGAUCACAUUCUCUGCCUCAACUGCCACCAGUCGCGGGUCAACAAGGGGACGCGCAAGUGACGGAGCCUGCCGCCCGGUCUCCUCUCCACCCGUCAGGCCAUCGUGCAGAAUUCGGACGCGACUCACGCCUCUCUCUCUCUCUGUCUCUGUCUUCCUAAUUUUACGCUUCGCAUUUUAAUCCCGAAAGGAAUAAAAAGAUGAUUUACUUCGUAAA